rnacentral:rRNA from 1 species
UACGUAGGGUGCAAGCGUUACUCGGAAUCACUGGGCGUAAAGCGCAUGUAGGCGGUUCUGUAAGUCAAAUGUGAAAGCCCUGGGCUCAACCCGGGAAUGGCAUUCGAUACUGCAGAUCUUGAAUGCUCGAGAGGAUGGCAGAAUUCCAGGUGUAGAAGUGAAAUUCGUAGAUAUCUGGAGGAAUACCGGUGGUGAAGACGGCUGUCUGGUGAGACAUUGACGCUGAGGUGCGAAAGCGCGGGGAUCAAACAGG